AGAGUUUGAUCCUGGCUCAGAACGAACGCUGGCGGCAGGCUUAACACAUGCAAGUCGAACGAGAAGCCACCUUCGGGUGGUGGACAGUGGCAGACGGGUGAGUAACGCGUGGGAACGUGCCUUUCGGUUCGGGAUAACCCAGGGAAACUUGGGCUAAUACCGGAUACGCCCCUUCGGGGGAAAGAUUCAUUGCCGAAAGAUCCGGCCCGCGUCCGGAUUAGCUAGUUGGUGAGGUAAAAGCUUUACCAAGGCGACGAUUCCGUAGCUGGGUCUGAGAGGAUGACCAGCCCACACUGGGGACUGAAACACGGCCC
rnacentral:rRNA from 1 species